rnacentral:rRNA from 1 species
UGGGCAACCUGCCCUCAGCUCUGGGAUAACUCCAAGAAAUUGGGGCUAAUACCGGAUAUGACCGCUGACCGCAUGGUCUGGUGGUGGAAAGAUUUAUCGGCUGGGGAUGGGCCCGCGGCCUAUCAGCUUGUUGGUGGGGUAACGGCCUACCAAGGCGACGACGGGUAGCCGGCCUGAGAGGGCGACCGGCCACACUGGGACUGAGAUACGGCCCAGACUCCUACGGGAG